CUUCUUCUUCUUCUUCUUUCUUGAACUCCAAGAAAUUGGAAACACCAUCUUCAGAAGAAACCCUCCAUUGUCUAUGCUUUCACUUCUGUUCACUUGCCUUCUUUUAUCAUUCUUUUUCUUCUCUGCUUUUUCCCUUGCAUUAAAAUCUUCACCAUUUAUACUCCUUUCUUUACUAAAAUUCUCUUCCUUAGUCUGAUCAACCAUGCUCCUCUUCUCUACAAUAUCUCUCAAAGAUAACUCGAAACAUCCCUCAGGCAUUCGACUCACCAUCUCCAUGAGCUCUUUCUGGCCUCUGGCAACCUCUUGAGCUCUCGACGAUGGAGAAAGACUUCGAUAGUGGUUCUGGCGAUGUUGGGGACUUCUGGGUGGACUUGUUCUCCACAAAGGUGGGGAACAUAUCCCAGAAUCUUCAUCAUCUGUAAACUUUCUCUCAGCUCCAAAUCCCGGCAAGCUAUUCCGUUUCUGGUAAUUGGCAUAAUUCUGUGCCGUUUUCUGAGCUCGGAAGCCAUAAUUUGUGGUACCGUGGCCUUUAUAACUGUCACUUAUUCGGCUAGUAGUAUGAUUGGAAAAAUGUAGAUGGUUGGUUUCAGGAGAUUUUGUGGCAGGAUCUUGCAUCGUUUAAUUUCUGGAUCGAAAUCAGGAUAAGAGAAGUUGAGAUUUUCUGGUAAAAAAAAAAAGUUGGGAUUUUUC
rnacentral:misc_RNA from 1 species